rnacentral:rRNA from 1 species
AGAGCGAACGCUGGCGGCAGGCCUAACACAUGCAAGUCGAACGGACCCUUCGGGGUUAGUGGCGGACGGGUGAGUAACACGUGGGAACGUGCCUUUAGGUUCGGAAUAGCUCCUGGAAACGGGUGGUAAUGCCGAAUGUGCCCUUCGGGGGAAAGAUUUAUCGCCUUUAGAGCGGCCCGCGUCUGAUUAGCUUGUUGGUGAGGUAAUGGCUCACCAAGGCUACGAUCAGUAGCUGGUCUGAGAGGAUGACCAGCCACAUUGGGACUGAGACACGGACCCAAACUCCUACGGGAGGCAGCAGGUGGGAAUCUUGCGCGAAGUGGGACGAAACGCCUGGACGCAGGCCAGUCGCCGUCGUGUAUGAGUAGGAACGGUUCUUAAGGUAUUAGUUAAAAUUAC